UGGGGAAUUUUGGACAAUGGGCGCAAGCCUGAUCCAGCAAUGCCGCGUGCAGGAAGAAGGCCUUCGGGUUGUAAACUGCUUUUGUCAGGGAAGAAAUCUUCUGGGCUAAUACCCCGGGAGGAUGACGGUACCUGAAGAAUAAGCACCGGCUAACUACGU
rnacentral:rRNA from 1 species